rnacentral:lncRNA from 1 species
ACCUAAGGUGCGAUUAGAGUGAUUGACAGAAAACCUGACAAGUUACAAAACAAUAUGAUCUUUUCAGCUCAUUGUGAACCUGAACUUGGGAGGCCCCUGAACGCGUGAGGCCCCUGGGCUUCAGCCCAGGUAAGCCCGUGCAUUAAAGCGGCCUAGCACUACGGAUAUAUUCAGGAAACAGAGAGGAACCAAAAACAACGUCUGUAACAUUCUCUGAUGAUUAUAAACGUUAACUACUCCUCAUAUGUUCUGUAUACAGGUCCGCACCAAAUCAUUUUAUAUUGUUUUUAUGAGUGUUAACAGCUGCUAAUGUAACGCUGUUACUGUGAUGAUACAACAUGACAGUUAUAUGUCACAUUAUGUUACAUGACAGACAUAGCAUGCUUUGCCUCUGCUAAUGUUAUGUUGGACAUUGUACUGCUUAUUCCAACGCUAAUAUACUACAUUCAGCUUUCCAGCCGUUUCAGACAUUCUAUAAUACCUACAGGAGGAACAGCCCACCAAAUCACAGGACAAACUGAAACGGAAGGUGUUGUGUGGGUAAGCCCGACGGCAGCAUGCCCCGACACACGUGGACUGCGAGGGCCCGUUCAUCACUGCUUGCAGUUUUAAUUCAUUACUUGUGUUGCUGUUGUUGUUGUUGUUAUGAAUGUACGGCAGGCUGUAGCCAACGAUUUAUAUAGCGUAAUUCAUUACUUAUGGGAAACAUUUUAAAAGCAACAGGCUUGCCUCCAAGCAGCACAGCAGAAGGGAGAAGUGCGUGUAAUGCGGAAGACGUCGCUGGCGCUGGAGCCAGGUCAAACCAACCAAUAGAAACUCUUCUCUCAUCCACCAGCGUAGGCCCCGCCCAUCAAGUGCAGUUGAAGUCCCGCCCCUUCCGGUGGACCCCAUGGGACCUCUGGGAUCGUAAAAUAUACAUGGGAUUGAAUGGACAGAAAGUAAUUAUUUUCUGGUCCCAGUCGUUAUAUGCCUUGGAUUACACAAAUGUUGUUUGUGGGUUUAAAUUAUAUUUUUUCACGUCAAGAGUUUGACAGUCUAUUGUGCAAUUGUUCAGCUAAAGGCUGUAGAGAAAAAAUGAUGAGAAAGACUACAUGUCGCGUAUGUGACGUCACGUCAUCAACUUUUCCCUCCGCUGUCAAGUGGCUAAGUCAAGGUUCCUGUAUUUCAAGAUGCUGGUGUGUUUUGUACCAGUCCUCAUUCGAGCAGGCACGGCUGUUGUUUCUUUCGGAUCCCUUCAGAUGUGAAGAAUCCCUGGCUCAAACUGAUCAGGAACAGCUAAAGCCCCCAACCAGGACUGAUGGACACAGGAAUUUUCAGGUCAAGUGUUUUAUUAAUUUCACUGCAUCACAGUUAGCAGUGUCAGCAUACACAGCAGUAUCUACAACUGACCAGUGACCAAAUUAAGCACUUAACAACCACGAACAUGUCCACAAGUCUCCCAGUCCCUCAAAUUGUGCACAAUGCACCACCCCAUGUCAAUCAUAUUACACGCAAUAUGUGGGAUAGUGCCUUGUGCAUAUGUUGUGACUUUUCAUCAUGGCAUUAUUAAUGCAAUUAAUUAUUUAAGCACCAAUAAGACCUCACAUGAACGUUUACACACCAAAAAACAGUGUAGCUUUUUAAGUGAGUUUAAGUGAGCAUUAAUUCCAUUUUUAUCACAAGUUUAUGUUUUCUAUAUUCUUCUCUCCUCAGCACCAUCAUAUCCUGUUCCUGUGUGUCCUGCUUGCAAGUCAGCGCCUUGGAUUUGUAUACCAUUUCAAAUAAAUUAAGUUGACUGUAGUUAUGACCUUGAGCUGUGUUUCUUUGAGUCAAAAACAAUGUUUGUGUUUAAAAACAAUCAGACACAGUCUUUAACAGAAUACACGCUUACUUUAUUCCCAAUGUGAAAGAUGACAGUCAUUUACCUAGAUUAGUGUUUAUAACUUAGAUUUCAUUCAAAUCCUCAAGUUCAAUAUUCAUGUCAGAUAAAUUGUAUGGGCUGUAAGUGUGAUUUUAUAUUUUAUCACCACACACACUCAUUUGUAAAAAUCUUACCUGAUGUUUCAAUGGCUUAACUAUGAUAUUAAGCCUAAUUGCAAAGAUAUAAUUACAGUGUAGGACAAAAGACUGGCAGAACAAAGUGUGUUGUACAUGUCGCACAUGAUAUGUCCAUCUUAUGAGAUAUUUGCUGACGUCUCCAGAAGAGUGAGAAAACAAUACUCCUCAGAGCCAUCUUCAGGCACACCGCUUGAAGGGACCAUGCUGAAGCUCACAGUGAGGGUCAUGUCUUCACUGUCCUGGCACGAGUCUAAAGGGAAAAGGAAAACAAAACACACAUAUAGGCAAGAAUAUACAAUAGGACUAACACCACUCACUACUAGCAAUGAUAACACACUGACCAUGACGAGGGCAUUUGAUGCAUACUCAUAUCGGGAGCUUCAUUUAGCUACUAGAGCUACGGCAGUUAGCUGGCUAGCAAAAUAUGUGAGAUGAUUCAGACUGGGUUUGGGUAUAUUAGUAUUUGCAUGUUCUGCUGGGUAUAACAGACGCUAAAGAAAUUGGUAACUUUGCUGACUCUCUUAUCGAGAGCUUAAGUUAGCCACUACACUACAGCACUUGCAAUUAGCUAGCUAGUUAGCUAGCGAAGUCGUAACACUCACCGAAACCUUAUAACGAUGCUCCCUGCGACUCGCGUGGACAAGACCGACCAUCUCCCCAUCGGCAUGGUUGCAGCUCUCUACAUGCCCCGACUUAUAAUGAUGUUCGCCUCUUUCUAGGCUGUUAUCCUCCCCUUGGAAAAAAGCGGUGAAGUAGUGCAGAGAGAUCGCCAGAGAGCGGGUGGUGACGUACAUCAUUCGCGUCGAGAGCGGCGAAGGGCUGUAGUUCACAAAGCGGCCUCACACAAAACCUAACAUUAUCAAGCUUCUUCACGCUAAAUUGUAGUAAUCUUUGCAUGGAAAAUUAUCUUUAAAAACCACAAACAACAUAUGUGAAAUUCAUAGCAAAAUUCAAACGGGACCAGAAAAUAUUUGUUAUCUCUCCAUUGACUGCCAUUCAUAAUAAUUCGCAACUGAGGUCCCAUGUACCGGAAACUGAAGGGCGUGACUUCGCCACUCUAUUCUCAAGCAAAACUUUAGAACUUGCAAGCAAGGAGGAUAGGACUGAUUUGCAAACAAAACUUUAUAACGCCCAAGCAAAGAGGACUGAUUUGCAAGCAAAGGUUUUUAACUUGAAAGCAAAGAGGACUGAUUUAUAAGCA